UACGUAGGGUGCGAGCGUUAAUCGGAAUUACUGGGCGUAAAGCGUGCGCAGGCGGUUUUGUAAGCCAGAUGUGAAAUCCCCGGGCUCAACCUGGGAAUGGCAUUUGGGACUGCAAGGCUGGAGUGCGGCAGAGGAGACUGGAAUUCCUGGUGAGCAGUGAAAUGCGUAGAUAUCAGGAGGAAUACCGAUGGCGAAGGCAGGUCUCUGGGCUGACACAUGACGCUCGAUGCACGA
rnacentral:rRNA from 1 species